UAGGGAAUCUUCGGCAAUGGGGGGAACCCUGACCGAGCAACGCCGCGUGAGUGAAGAAGGUUUUCGGAUCGUAAAGCUCCGUUGUUAAGGAAGAACGAGUGUGAGAAUGGAAAGUUCAUGCUGUGACGGUACUUAACCAGAAAGGGACGGCUAACUACGUGCCAGCAGCCGCGGUAAUACGUAGGUCCCGAGCGUUGUCCGGAUUUAUUGGGCGUAAAGCGAGCGCAGGCGGUUAGAAAAGUCUGAAGUGAAAGGCAGUGGCUCAACCAUUGUAGGCUUUGGAAACUGUUUAACUUGAGUGCAGAAGGGGAGAGUGGAGUUCCAUGUGUAGCGGUGAAAUGCGUAGGUAUAUGGAGGAACACCGGUGGCGAAGGCGGCUCUCUGGUCUGUAACUGACGCUGAGGCUCGAAAGCGUGGGGAGCGAACAGG
rnacentral:rRNA from 1 species